GAUGAACGCUGACAGAAUGCUUAACACAUGCAAGUCGACUUGAAGCAAUUUCGGUUGUGGAAAGUGGCGGACGGGUGAGUAACGCGUAAAGAACUUGCCCUUCAGUCUGGGACAACCAUUGGAAACGAUGGCUAAUACCGGAUAUUAUGGAACUCUCGCAUGGGAGGAUCAUGAAAGCUAUAUGCGCUGAAGGAGAGCUUUGCGUUCCAUUAGCUAGUUGGUGAGGUAACGGCUCACCAAGGCGACGAUGGAUAGCCGGCCUGAGAGGGUGAUCGGCCACAAGGGGACUGAGACACGGCCCUUACUCCUACGGGAGGCAGCAGUGGGGAAUAUUGGACAAUGGACCAAAAGUCUGAUCCAGCAAUUCUGUGUGCACGAUGAAGGUUUUCGGAUCGUAAAGUGCUUUCAGUUGGGAAGAAGAAAGUGACGGUACCAACAGAAGAAGCGACGGCUAAAUACGUGCCAGCAGCCGCGGUAAUACGUAUGUCGCAAGCGUUAUCCGGAUUUAUUGGGCGUAAAGCGCGUCUAGGCGGGUUCAUAAGUCUGAUGUUAAAAUGCGGGGCUCAACUCCGUAUUGCGUUGGAAACUGUGAACCUAGAGUAUCAGAGAGGUGGGCGGAACUACAAGUGUAGAGGUGAAAUUCGUAGAUAUUUGUAGGAAUGCCGAUGGAGAAGUCAGCUCACUGGAUGAAUACUGACGCUAAAGCGCGAAAGCGUGGGGUAGCAAACAGG
rnacentral:rRNA from 1 species